GUUGAGCGUGUUCACUUAAAAGGGAAGUUCGGUAGAUUCCGACACGGACCCGCCACUGUAUACAGGCAUCAGCAGGGUACUGCUGGAGCUUUCAGAACAAGCCACUGGAACUGUGAGGAACCGGGAAGGCCUGAAAGAUACGCUUGGAGUCAGGAGACCUGCCUGUUUUGA
rnacentral:ncRNA from 1 species